AAGAAUAUUAGUCAAUGCUCGCAAGAGUGAACUAGCUAACUGAAAUCACAUGAUCCAUUAUGUGUGGUGAAUGUAAUAACGUAAGGGAAAAAAAUGAUAUUACCUUACUAUUAGUGUUGUCCAAAACUGGUGCCAGAAGACUCGGUAAGGCCAGAGACGCAAACGUUAGUCGUCCUAAUCAGGCGUAAAGGGUAUGUAGGCUGCUUUAAAAGUUUUAUAUUUAAUAGCUAAUAUAUACAAAGUUUUUUUGUAAUAAAAAAAUAUAAAAUGAAUUAAAGCUAGGAUCAAAUUGAGGAUAAUAAAUAACACCUAGUGUAGGGUUUAAAUCUGAUGAUAUUAGGUGGAGUACUAACGGUGAAAGCUUUUUAUCUAGAAAUGAUUGACGCUGAGAAACGAAGGUGAGAAUAGGAAAUAGGAUUAGAUACCCAGAUACCUCUCACAGUCAACGAUGAAUGGUGGUUGUUACUUAGUUUUAUUUAAGUGAUAACGAUGUUAACACGAUAACCAUUCCGCCUUGCGAGUACGGUUGCAAAACUGAAACCAAAAAAAUUAGUCGGUCUCGAAGCAAACGAAGUGAAGCAUGUUAUUUAAUUC
rnacentral:rRNA from 1 species